AUAUAUAUAUAUAUAUAUAAGUCCGGCUACUAUACUAUCGAUAGUACCAAACCCUUGUUACUAUUGAGUUUUCUACCGUUAGAUCGACCCUUUGAUCAUUUCCACCUGUUAGAUUAUACUAUUAAACCAACCACCCACUCAACCCUAGGGAACCGCUAUCAAUUUAACUGGAGACCACUAUUAUUCUAACCGCACAUCUUUUAAUCCAAGGGCCGAAAAUUCAGUAGUACCAAAGGCUUGAUACUAUUGAUAGUAUAGUAGCAUAAUUUUAUAUAUAUAAUGUAUUUUAAUUAUAUAUAGGCUUUAAUUUAAUUUGGACCAUUAUUGUUGGCCCAUAAAAUAAACCCAACAAGUACAACCGUGCAAUUGAGCCCAACUCUAAAUUUACAUAACACACUCUCUUUCAGACUUUCACUGUUGCACAUAACCCUAAAAUAUGAUAACAUUCAAAUUCCCAAAUCUCUAAUAUUUUCCGCCCCCUCUCUCUCUCUCUCUCAGACCCUCACCCAGUCAGACAGUCACCCUAUCUCACAUUUCUUGCAAUUAUUUUGUAUUUUGAACUAUUGGACAUAUUGCAUCAAAUUGUAGGUAAUGUUCUAUAAAAUUUAAACUAUUGAUUAUAUAAUGUCGAGAAUUUCAAUCGGCUCGUUUAGAGCUCGAGCUCGGCUCGACUCGAAAUUAGGCUCGCUCGAGCUCGGCUCGAAUUAAUUUCAAACCGAGCUUGAGCCUAGAUUUAGGCUCGAAAUUAAUUUCAAGCCGAAUUUGAGCCGACAUAAGCUCGCUCGAGCUCGGCUCGUUUCCACCCCUACUGAAGAAGGAGAAGUAAUAAUAACUGAACAAGGAGAAGAAGGCGGAUCUUCGGAGGAGAUGCGGGAACAAAUUAUUAACCCGAAACACUAGACUUCCACAGCUUUGCAGAACUUCCCUUUGAAAUAAGUCGUCACUUAAUUUCUUUCUUAUUAAGGUAUCCGCCUUAGUUCUGUUCUUUCCCCCUCCUCUUUCGGCCCUCUUUU
rnacentral:lncRNA from 1 species